rnacentral:sRNA from 1 species
GAGUUCACAGCAGGAACGUUGAAAGAGAAGAUAACUGUACUGUGAUGACUGUUCUUAGGAUCCGAGCCCAGACCGGCUACUAAACCUGUAAUCCCGUCUCCACCAGUACCUGGAUGGUUUAGAAGCUCCUCGGGGAGCUCAUCAAGGUAAACAGACGACGUUCUGUGCUGCAGCAAGGUGAAGGAGACAUUUCUCAAUGACAUCAAGCAAAGAAGAAACAAAUCAAUAACUUUCCCUGACCCACAACUGUCCAAGGAUCACACUACAUAGGCAGAGAGCUUCCGCUAUGGGUUUGCAAAGAGUUACUUUGCACGGGCUUGUCAUCAUUGCUCGAGGCCCCACUAGAGACGUGACAGAUGAUUGUGAAAUGAAAAUGCCAAUCAACUCUGAAAAGAACUGAAGGUGUUCUACAUACUGCAGAAAAAUAUUAAGCCGCACUGUCUACAUAAAAAUAAAU